rnacentral:rRNA from 1 species
GAUGAACGCUAGCGGGAGGCUUAACACAUGCAAGUCGAGGGGUAUUGUAGCAAUACAUUAGACCGGCGCACGGGUGAGUAACGCGUAUGCAACCUGCCGUUAACCGGGGGAUAGCCCGUCGAAAGGCGGAUUAAUACCCCAUAAUAUUGGGAUUCUGCAUGGGAUUUCAAUUAAAGCUGAGGUGGUUAACGAUGGGCAUGCGUGACAUUAGAUAGUUGGUAGGGUAACGGCCUACCAAGGCUACGAUGUCUAGGGGUUCUGAGAGGAAGGUCCCCCACACUGGUACGGAGACACGGACCAGUCUGCUGAGGGAGGCAGCAGUGAGGAAUAUUGGUCAAUGGGCGAGAGCCUGAAACAGCCAUCCCGCGUGCAGGAAGACGGCCCUAUGGGUUGUAAACUGCUUUUGCGCAUGAAGAAUGUUACCGACGUGUCGGUAAGUGACGGUAAUGCGUGAAUAAGCAUCGGCUAACUCCGUGCCAGCCGCCGCGGUAAGAC